GACGAACGCUGGCGGCAUGCCUAAUACAUGCAAGUCGAGCGAACAGAUGAAGUGCUUGCACUUUUGACGUUAGCGGCGAACGGGUGAGUAACACGUAAGGAAUCUACCUAUAAGCGGGGGAUAACAUUCGGAAACGGGUGCUAAUACCGCAUAAUAUCUUCUUCAGCAUGGAAGAAGAUUGAAAGACGGCUCUGCUGUCACUUAUAGAUGACCUUGCGGUGCAUUAGUUAGUUGGUGGGGUAACGGCCUACCAAGACGAUGAUGCAUAGCCGACCUGAGAGGGUGAUCGGCCACAUGGGGACGGAGACACGGCCCAACCUCCUACGGGAGGCAGCAGUAGGGAAUCUUCCGCAAUGGGCGAAAGCCUGACGGAGCAAUGCCGCGUGAGUGAAGAAGGCCUUCGGGUCGUAAAACUCUGUUAUAAGAGAAGGACAAAUUGUAGAGUAACUGCUACAGUCUUGACGGUAUCUUAUCAGAAAGCCACGGCUAACUACGUGCCAGCCGCCGCAGUAA
rnacentral:rRNA from 1 species